GGAGGGCGACGACAUGAAGGCGUACGAUUUUUCUGUUUCAGUUUUCUCUUCGGUCUAUUACUGGCACGAGAAUCGGCGAGGAGAGGAAUCUAUUUGACGGUGGUGGUUCGAUUAGGCACCAGAAGGUCGACGGUUUUAGGUUCUAGCGACACAUGUAUGAAUAGGGUUCAGCGUUGGUUGACACGACGAUGGCUAUGGAUUCCUGCAAUAUGUGCCUCAUUCUAGCCGUAAUACUUGAAUUUUGUAAAUAUGUGCCUCAAUAAUCAAAGGACUUGGUAUAAGUGAAUGUGAUAAUUGUUUGAAUUAUGAGCCAUACAAUUAUUACCUGGUGGUUCCAUCGUCGUGGUACAUCUUCCUUUUCCUAUUAGUUCUAAUGAAGAAAUUAGUUCUUAGGUGUGAGCCCUUUUUCUUAAUCAUAUAUGGGUUGUAUAUAAUUUGUUUCUUCUCGAGUUGAGUUUUAGUUUUACCACAACCCUCUUCUAUAAGGGGUAGACAAUGGUGGUUUACAGAUUAGGGCACAAGAUUGUGAGCUCCCGUUCCAAAUAGCUGCUUAUCAAUCGAGGGUUUCCCAUGGAUCUUUCCGAUGAAGUUGUACACCCGAGGGUGCCAUUAAUUGAUUGCUUAGCUAGCUUUUCUCAUCCAGAGGAGGUUCAAGGUUUCUAUAGCACUGCGUUAAAAGCUAGGACAACUGCUAUCAAGUAAUCUUAUUUGUUUUCUG
rnacentral:lncRNA from 1 species